GUAGUUGUGGCCGAGUGGUGAAGGCAAUGGACUAGAAAUCCAUUGGGGUUUCCCCGCACAGGUGCCCAGCUGUU
rnacentral:tRNA from 1 species